ACCCCCGUGAGAAUACCCAUAGCCCCCUUUAUGAGGGCAUGGAGUUGGUAUCAGGCGCACGACUAGAUCUAAUGUAGCCCAGAACACCUUGCUUAGCCACACCCCCAAGGGUACUCAGCAGUGAUUAACAUUAAGCCAUGAGCGAGAGCUCUACUCAGUUAGAGUUAACCAGAGCCGGUAAAACCCGUGCCAGCCACCGCGGUUAUACGGGAGGCUCAAGUUGACAGAACCACGGCGUAAAGGGUGGUUAAGGAGGAAUAUACACUAAAGUCGAAAGAAUUCAGAGUUGUGAUAAGCCCACGAAGACAUGAAGAACACCCACGAAAGUGACUUUAAUACCCCUGACUCCACGAAAGCUGCGACACAAACUGGGAUUAGAUACCCCACUAUGCUCAGCCCUAAACAUAGACUGAAAUUAACACAUUCUAUCCGCCCGGCAACUACGGACACUAGUCUGAAAGCCAAAGGACCUGGCGGUGCUUCACAUCCAUCUAGAGGAGCCUGUCCUAUAACCGAUAAUCCCCGUUAAACCUCACCCCCCCUUGCUCCUGUCCCGCCUAUAUACCGCCGUCGUCAGCUUACACUGAGAAGGGAUAAAAGUAAGCAAAACUAGCAAAGCCCAGAACGUCAGGUCGAGGUGCAGCUCAUGGGAGGGGCAAGAGAUGGGCUACAUUUGCUCGCUUAGAGCAAAUACAGAUACCUCGUUGAAACACGAGAUUGAAGGAGGAUUUAGUAGUAAGCAGGGAACAGAGCGCCCUCCUGAAACCGGCACUGAAGCACGUACACACCGCCCGUCACCCUCACCAAGCGCCUGGAAAACCCUAACUAAGAUGAGCCUAACUGCAAAGGAGAGGAAAGUCGUAACAUGGUAAGUGUACCGGAAGGUGCACUUGGUCAAGA
rnacentral:ncRNA from 1 species